AGAAAGUUCGGCAUCGACGGGGCGGGAGGUGGGGGCGCUGCCCCGCGCCUUUGUUCAGCGGGGAGAGGACCUGCGGCGGAGCCGAGACGACCGCGCAGAUAGGCACGCACCCGGCAGCGCGGCCCCGCGCCCACGGGACGAGGAGGAGGAGGGAGGCAGAAGGUCCCCUUGCAGCCUCCCUCACUCUCUCCCUCCCUCCAAGGUCAAAACAUGGCUGUCCAAAGAAUGGGAUGCUUGCCAAAACAUCAAUCUGUGCUGAGUGCCAUACUCAUUAUCCUUCCAGUGGUGGAUUACAACUCGGGUCUCCUCAGGAGGUGACUGAUGUGGAACAAACUGUACGACUGUCUUUGCUGUUUGGAUACGUGUGUAAGUUAACGGGCUACUGGGAGAAGAUGAAGAGGCUUUUGCAGAAAAAUGAGGAUAUCGUGGGAAGUGCUGCUGCUAACCAUUUGGAUUAUAUUGCUGUCUGACACAGAAGUUCUGCAGAUUACGUAAGGAACUCUCCAGAUCUUUUUUGUUAUGUGAUUGCUGAAGCAUUUUCCUGGCACAGCAGUAAUGAUUGAUGAACACACUUCAGCUGAAACAUCCCUGUUCAUCACUCAUCAUCCUGUGGAGUUCUAGCCUGAAAACUUAUGUCACGCUCAAGAUUAACAAGGGAUUAAGAGUGAGCAAUGGAUUUUCCAGGACAUGAUGUGGCCUGCUGCUACUUUCUGCUUGCCUGAUUGCCUGCUAAAGUCCAUUCCUCUUGGCACUGCUUACACCAGCUCCAGCUGCUCCACAUUGCUUUGCAGUAUCAACAUCUACCUCCUCAAAUUUGGAAGACUGGUCACCCUUUGUAGUACUGCUGUGUGGAUGAAUCUUAAUCUUCUUGAAAGUAGGAUAUUAAAGAUGAGAUAAGCCCUGGUAUCUAGAAGUAGUAUAUACUGCAGUCCUAUGAGACACAUAGAUAGAUAGCCAGAUAUAAUCUUUCUCCACUGGAUAUCUUGUCCUUAGAACUAUUACCCUGGAAACACUCCUUAAUAUUUCAAAUCACAUUCCCCUUUUCUUAGGUAUAUUCUAUUUAUCAGACAUAGCCUAGCUACAGAAUGGCCAAUGCUGUUGAGCUCUCAAUCUGUGUAGAAAUGGAUUUUCAUCUUUUGUACAAGCUUGUAUUUUGCUAAACAAUUAAAUAAAAACAAAACACAACAAAACAAAACCUUGUAAAUACCAACCUGUUAGGACUGAUCUGUCUAUAGAUCAAUGAAGUGUUAAAAUCCACCACAGGAAUUAGUCCCAGUAUGACUUGAUACUUCACUCUGAAGCAGAAGUACUUUCAAAAACACAAAUAUCUGGUUUAUUCCCAAAAGCUCUUUUUUCUGGGUCAAUCCCAUGUUUCUUAAAUACUGUCAUGACAUUGAGGGGAAAGCUGUGCGCAUGUGAGAAGUCGGAAGCUUUGACACAUUAGGCAAACAAGAAGUCAGUUUAGUAUUAUGCAUUAAUGAAAGAGAAUGAAAAUAAAAAUCAGCUGAAAGCAAAUCCCACCUGCAAACCACUUCAGCAAGGUGUAUGAAGCAAAGGACAUCUGUGACCACAAUGUCAUACACUGAGGCAUUAUGGCUUCACACUGCAAUCUGCCUCUGAGCAGUCAUUUGAUAACACUGCAAUCCAGGAAUGCAGCUGUUCCUUUCUGCAAAUUUAAUGAUCCACAUAUCUUAAAAGGCAUUUUCUUUCAUAUUUUUUUAUUUACUUCUUUUGUGUUAUGUUUUGUAUCAGUGAAGAUAGAACAUUACACAGUCAUCAGGGAAAUUAUGUUUUUCCUUUUUUUUUUUUUUUUUUGAUCAUUCAAGACUUAUAUUCACAGUAAUGAGGCUUCCAGGUUUGUGCGGCUGUGAGAUGAACUGCAUUUUGCAUCACUGUCUUCACCUUCAUGUCUGGGGUUGUUGCCUUCACCUUCCUCCUGAUACUAGCCCUGAGGCACAUGUUAUCUCAUAUCCACAUGCAUUCUGUCAUGUCUCACUCUUUGAAUGAAUACAAAAACAUUUUGAGAAAAUGGAAAAUGGAGGGCUGGAUUGAAUUUUGUAGAUAUGCAUGUAGGAGACACUGCAUGCAGAUUCCCACUUUCCUGCCUCCGGGUGGUGGCUGUAGGAAGCAACUGCCUUGACAUUUCUGUCUUUCUUUUGUGGAAACCUUAUGCAGCCUUGUUCAAUCACACAAUCACAGAAAAUCACAUUCACUGGUGUUGGAAGGGCCCUCAAGCAAUCAUCAAGUCCAACGCCUCCGCUAAAGCAGAUACCCUACAAUAUGUCUCACAGGUAGCUCUCCAGGCAGGUCUCGAAUGUCUCCAUAGAAGGAGCCUCCACAACCUCCCUGGACAUCUCUGUUCCAAUGCUGUGUCACCUUUGCCAUAAAGAAGUUCUUCUGCAUGUUAGUACGAAGCUUCAUAUGCUCAAGUUCAAGUUUGUUUAUGUAUUACCUCUUGUUUGCAACUCCACAUUCAGCUCCAACUCUAAGGGAAGGAUGACAAGUUCAGUCUAACAUAGCAAACAUAGCAUGGAUUCAGCAACAAGACAACUUGGAUGGGCUUCAGUUGGAUUCACUGAAAACUGAACAGCAAUGCUGUAAGAGGUUGGACUUCUGCUCCAAAAUUUCUGUUUUCCCUCUGGGCAUGUUAGGAUAAGAAUAUUCUGCUCUUUGCAAGAAUUUGGAUGAAUCUCAGUAUAUAGUGCUUUUCUUUACAUGUUCUGUGUUUAGAAAAACCUUUUUAAAAUACUGAAUGUAUAUUAUUAUUGUACGAUGUUAUCUCUACAAUAGGUUUGUACUUUGAACUACUGGUUAGAAAACUUCUUAAAUAACUAUUAAUAAUGAAUCAGCCAGAUUUAGAGUCAAGGGCCAAAUUCUUUUAUUUUGAACUCUGACUAUAUUGACUAAAAAUCAUUUCUAUUUAAAAGAUCCCUGCAGGAACCUUCACUGUGGACUGUUUCUCAAGGCUUGAUUUGCAUAUCACCAAGACCUAUCUUCUCCUAUUUUUCCCCGAGAUGUUAUCUCUGCAAUAUCUUUCUUCUGUACCUCCUGGCAACUUUAUAGACUGCUCUCCUAUGGCAUGCUAAUAUCAUUGCCACUAGCCAAAAGAAUUUGCACAAGACAAAGGUGGAUAAUCCUAGGUUACAGUUUCAUUUGAUAAUCAAUAUGGAGAACAACCUCCGUGUUGAACCUCAUGUAGGUAGUAAAUCCAGCCAUAUUGAAGCAUGUACAUAGUUUGCUCUAGAAGUAAUGCCUCCUAUUUGUUUCCAUGAAAACUACGACAUAUAGAAAUAAUGUUUAAAGAAAAGGUGUGCUUUACGUUACUCCAUGUGGAAAAAUUUCACCUAUUGACAUUCAUCAGUGCUUACUGAACGUUUAGGGAGACUAAGAAGUGAGUAUGAACACAGUGGUGGGUAGUGCAUUUCAACAGUAGCAACAGAAACGGUGGCUCACCUAUGCUGGUGCAGAUUUUUAUGACUAUGGCAUGUAAUUUCUUGUUCAUCACAGUAAAAAUGCAUAUCUCAUGGUGGUGAUUAUGUUGAAAAAUAGUGUUUUGUAGCCGAGAAUCUGCUCUGUCAAAUAGUGUUAUUGUGCUCUUUGUAUCCAUUGUAGUUUCCAUGGAAAUAAGUAGGAGGAAUUACUUUCAGAGCAAGCAAUAUACAUAAAGCACCCCAUUGAAUUCAAUAGGAAUAUUGACAUAAGGAAGGAAUGUAGGGCUAAGCCUUUGAUUCCUGUAGAAUUCUUCUUUAACCAAACAAAAUAUUAUUCUGUGUUUGGAUUAUGUUCAAUUAGAACUUAGAAAUUAUUGUUUGUCUGUGAGAUGCCAUUCACAUGACUAUCUUCUCAUAAGUGAUUUAUACUACAUGCUCUUAGGACUAUGUCAUGUGAAAAGUGAAAUAUUUAGAUAGCCAAAUAUCUGACACAAAAGUAUAUGACAAUCACACACACACAACUGAAAGUCCAAGAAAUCACAUCACCCAAAUUGCUCAUAUCUUUCUCUCUCACUGUUUGUGUUGGUUUCCUUUCAGUAGAUACAACUGCAGAUCUUUGGCCUGUGCCACAUGUCAAAUAAGGAUAAGAACCUUCCCCAUGGAAGUCAGUUUUCAAAUUUAAAUGGAACAGAUAUGUAAAUUUUAACACUUUCCCUACAUAAUAUACGCAUUUGAACUGCCAGAUUGUUCAGGUGUACAUGCAAGGGGUAGGUUGUACAUGCAAGAACCCAUUUAUGCUGAUGAAGAAAAUGAUGUAUGGAAAAUAAAAUACAUUUAAAGCAUGCACUGUGGCAUGUACUGACUUUACCAGAAUAAUUGAGGGAAUUAAUAUUGAAUACCCGAUCUAUGGAGACAAAAAUACUAAAUAGCCUAAUGUCACUGAGAAAGAAGCAGAGAGCAAAGGAUUUCCACAUUUUUUCUCUUACAAAAUUUUGAUGGAUUCUGAUCUUUUUUUUGUGUGUGUGUGCUGUUUUUCUCAAACCCAAUGUGAUGACAGAAAACCUUGAAUGCAGAUUUCUUAUUGUUGUGCAAUUGCUGGGGAAAUUGUAAAUAGCUGGAGUUUAGAUUUGAAAGUAUGUAACUACUCCAUUUCCAUCUGAAUUAACAUGUAAUACCUUUUUUAAUUCUGUAUUUAUCACAGGAAAUAUUUUUUGCUUGAAGUAUAUACUUCUGGGAGUGUGUUCAUUGUCCUGUGUUGUAAUAUCACUUCUGAAAGAAAUAUGUCUUUAAAUAUUAGUGUUCAGUAGGACUGUUCUUAAUCUCUGUUAUUAUAAUAAAUACUGAAUGUCAGACUUUUUCAAAGAUCCAAAUUGGAAAUGUGCUUUUUAUCUCACUAAAAUGAGUGGAAGCUCCACACAUCAUGUACAUUUCAAAGUAGAGAACUGUUAUCCCAAAUAUGCAUUGCAAGGAUAAUUGGAAAGGAUUAAUUUACUUCAUGGGGAUUUGACGGAGAUGAAUGAUCUGUUGUGCUCCCGGGAAAUUGGGAAUUUGGAAUUCUUUACUUUCAGUGGUUGAGAAUUAUCUGUGAAGUUUCUAUGCUUGAGUAGUUUUAAGUGCAUCUGUUCUUGAAGUAAUACAAAACAAAAACUCAGAUUUUCCCUGUCUGGGGUUUAUUCAUGUUACUACAGAUUUUUAAUACAAAAAUUAGAAUAUUGAAAAUAUAUUUUCCCUUUGGUUUUAAUAUUUAUACAGUAGAAAUUCUUGUUAGUGUUAAAAUGGAAUCAUAUAUGCAUUUAUGUUUUUAUAUGCAUAAGUACACCAUAGUUUAGGGUUUGAUGAAAGCCAUCUCAGUAGAAUCAGUCCUUGUUAUACUUGUUUUAGAUUUGUGCUGUUUGAGGCAGAGAGAUACAGAUAGAGGAUUUAUUUUUCAGUCCUAGUAGUUAAUCAAGUUCCUGUAACAGUCAUCUAAUCCCAUGGUUUUACCCAAGUCGUUUUCUCCAUGUUACUUCUACCUUUCUUAAGCAAGGCAAGUUUCUGCCUCAACAUUCUACCUUUGACCUAUUUGACCUUGCCUAUUUCCUUUCUGCUGUACAGCGGGUCAAUAACAGUACUGAGCAAGCAAUCCUCUUUCUAGCAUAUUGCCAGCUGUACAGGAGCUGUUGUGAACUCCCUAGAAAAGCUGAGAUGUGGUGUAAUACUUACGUUCACCUGCAAUCAGCAAUUUUAUGGUGCUAUCUCUGAAAAGCAGAGGGGAUUGAGUGGAUGUGCCGUGAAAGAAUUGAUGGAAUAUCCACUUUAAUGCUCUCUUAAGAAGGAAGGAGC
ensembl:lncRNA